UACGUAUGGAGCAAGCGUUAUCCGGAUUUACUGGGUGUAAAGGGAGCGUAGGCGGCAUACCAAGCCUGAUGUGAAAACCCGGGGCCCAACCCCGGGAGUGCAUUGGGAACUGGCAAGCUAGAGUGUCGGAGAGGCAGGCGGAAUUCCUAGUGUAGCGGUGAAAUGCGUAGGUAUUAGGAGGAACACCAGUGGCGAAGGCGGCCUGCUGGACGAUGACUGACGCUGAGGCUCGAAAGCGUGGGGAGCAAACAGG
rnacentral:rRNA from 1 species